rnacentral:rRNA from 1 species
CGCGGGCCUAUCAGCUUGUUGGUGGGGUCACGGCCCACCAAGGCGAUGACGGGUAGCUGGUCUGAGAGGAUGGCCAGCCACAUUGGGACUGAGAUACGGCCCAGACUCCUACGGGAGGCAGCAGUGGGGAAUAUUGCGCAAUGGCCGCAAGGCUGACGCAGCGACGCCGCGUGGGGGAUGAAGCAUUUCGGUGUGUAAACCCCUGUUGCCCGGGACGAACCUCCCCUUUCGAGGGGACUGACGGUACCGGGUGAGGAAGCACCGGCUAACUCCGUGCCAGCAGCCGCGGUAAUACGGAGGGUGCGAGCGUUGUCCGGAAUCACUGGGCGUAAAGGGCGCGUAGGCGGUGACUUAAGCGUGUGGUGAAAGCCCGGGGCUCAACCCCGGGUCGGCCGUGCGAACUGGGUCACUUGAGCACUGUAGAGGCAGGUGGAAUUCCGGGUGUAGCGGUGGAAUGCGUAGAGAUCCGGAAGAACACCAGUGGCGAAGGCGGCCUGCUGGGCAGUAGCUGACGCUGAGGCGCGACAGCGUGGGGAGCAAACAGGAUUAGAUACCCUGGUAGUCCACGCCGUAAACGAUGGGCACUAGGUGCUUGGGGGAACGACCCCCCGAGUGCCGGCGCUAACGCAUUAAGUGCCCCGCCUGGGGAGUACGG